rnacentral:rRNA from 1 species
UACAGAGGUCUCAAGCGUUGUUCGGAUUCAUUGGGCGUAAAGGGUGCGUAGGCGGCGCGGUAAGUCGGGUGUGAAAUCUCGGAGCUUAACUCCGAAACUGCAUUCGAUACUGCCGUGCUUGAGGACUGGAGAGGAGACUGGAAUUUACGGUGUAGCGGUGAAAUGCGUAGAUAAUCGUGAAGGAAGACCAGUGGCGAAGGCGGGUCUCUGGACAGUUCCUGACGCUGAGGCACGAAGGCCAGGGGAGCAAACGGG